CGGAAUCUUCGGAUUUAGUGGCGGACGGGUGAGUAACGCGUGAGAUCUGCCUUCAGGAUGGGGACAACAAUUGGAAACGAUUGCUAAUACCCGAUAUGACGAAAGUUGAAAGAUUUAUCGCCUGGAGAUGAGCUCGCGUCAGAUUAGCUAGAUGGUGUGGUAAAGGCGCACCAUGGCGACGAUCUGUAGCUGGUCUGAGAGGAUGAGCAGCCACACUGGGACUGAGACACGGCCCAGACUCCUACGGGAGGCAGCAGUGGGGAAUUUUCCGCAAUGGGCGCAAGCCUGACGGAGCAAUACCGCGUGAGGGAGGAAGGCUCUUGGGUCGUAAACCUCUUUUCUCAGGGAAGAAUACAAUGACGGUACCUGAGGAAUCAGCAUCGGCUAACUCCGUGCCAGCAGCCGCGGUAAUACGGAGGAUGCAAGCGUUAUCCGGAAUGAUUGGGCGUAAAGCGUCCGUAGGUGGUUAUGUAAGUCUGUGGUUAAAGCGUGGGGCUCAACCCCAUAAAGGCCAUGGAAACUACAAGACUUGAGUGAAGUAGGGGUAGAGGGAAUUCCCAGUGUAGCGGUGAAAUGCGUAGAGAUUGGGAAGAACACCGGUGGCGAAAGCGCUCUACUGGACUUAAACUGACACUGA
rnacentral:rRNA from 1 species